AACGAACGCUGGCGGCAGGUCUAACACAUGCAAGUCGAACGCCCUAGCAAUAGGGAGUGGCAGACGGGUGAGUAACACGUGGGAACCUUCCCUAUAGUAUGGAAUAGCCCAGGGAAACUUGGAGUAAUACCGUAUACGCCCGAGAGGGGAAAGAUUUAUCGCUAUAGGAUGGGCCCGCGUAGGAUUAGCUAGUUGGUGAGGUAAUGGCUCACCAAGGCGACGAUCCUUAGCUGGUCUGAGAGGACGACCAGCCACACUGGGACUGAGACACGGCCCAGACUCCUACGGGAGGCAGCAGUGGGGAAUAUUGGACAAUGGGCGCAAGCCUGAUCCAGCCAUGCCGCGUGAGUGAUGAAGGCCUUAGGGUUGUAAAGCUCUUUUGCCGGGGACGAUAAUGACGGUACCCGGAGAAUAAGUCCCGGCUAACUUCGUG
rnacentral:rRNA from 1 species